CGCAGCGCACAUGGCUGCCGCCUGGGGAUGAAACCCUACUCCGCGCGCGCCGCCGACGAACGAGGUCCUCCUUCGCUCGCGCCGCCAUGGGAUGGGGGCCCUUCUCCGCCCACACUGCGCGGGGGGGGGGGGGGGGGGGUCUUCACUCACACCGCAAGCUCAGGUCAGGCAUGCCUCUCUCCCUCUCUCUGAUUUCCUCAAAUUGAGAUCCCGAUCUAGGGUUUGGGGUAUGGAGCAGCUGCUGGACUAUGGAGACCCGUCAAUCCGUGGCACCAAUUGUUGGGAGCGAAAUUGCUUAAUCCCCCAACCCCCCUUUACUACUACUUCCCUACGAUUUCUUCUUGUUAUGGGGGUUCCGAAAGUGAUAGAUUACUGAAGGUUAGUGUGUUACAUGUUCAACCUGUGUCACCAAGGUUGCAAAUUAUGUGCAUAAUUUGUCUGCAGGUUGUGGCUUUACUAUAGAAGUCACCUGACCCAGUGUCCACCCAAAUAUGCAUUCCAAGGUUAUAUAAGACCGGUGCCCUGUUUUAUCAUUUAUUAAAUCUGAAUGUUCAAGAUGUAGUGGUAAUUUCUGUUUACUUACAUUUGUUUUCCAUUUUUCUAUAAUUAGACCGGUGAAAUUUGUCUUGAUAUAUAUUGAAGAAUGCAUGGAGCCCUGGAUAGACCCAUCAAGAUGAAUGUGUGGUGUUCUUUUGCAGCCGCUGCAAUAAUUUACUAGCUGGCUCAUGAAUUUGAGAGUCAUUUGAGCUCAUAUGACCACAAUCAUAGGAAGAUGUUUAAAGAAAUGAGAGAAAUACAGAGUAGCAGUGGUAGCUGUGAUGACAGGCAGAAAGGUGAGUUCAAUACUAAGCUAUGUUAUUCUUAAGAUAUGCAUUAGGAAUUUAUUAGGAUGUAUUCGAUACUAUGAGUUCAUCAUAAUAGCCAUCUACAACAAGCAGGUUAACUUGGACCCUCAUGAUGUUCUUAUGAUCUAUUUGUUGAAACCGGUGUGCUCGUUUUGAGUUAAGUAUGAGUGUCAGUACAACUAUGAAAUAGGAAGCUUUUGAAGAGUACAAUAGAGUCAAUCAUCGUCAGAUUUCUGGUACAUGUAUCCUCCUGAACCAAUCAGGAUCAUGACCAUUUGUAUGAAGUCUACUAAUUGAACUCCUGAACUCAACCAUGGUGAGGAAACUGCACACAUACACUGUGAUUGAUAGUGCUUUUAUAAGGAUCAUCAAUGGACAUAGCCCUUCAUUAUCACCAGGAUCCUGUAGUAUCAUUGUCAAAGUCAGGGUUGUUGUGGGUAGCAUAUCCUGGUACAUGUCAAUGCUGCAUUCGAGUGUCACGAUGAUUAUUCUUUUUUAUCAGUGUUUUAAGUAGAAAACCAUCAUCUGGAAGGGUUACUUGUGGUGGAUACAAUUUGUGAUUCACCAUGUUUUAUGGCUAGAUGCUUUCAUGUCUUGUGACCAGGAACAUGGUGUGCCCAGGGUGAUCUAAAAACAGACUCAGUUCUUUGUGAGUUUGGCAAUAGCAAUUUAGACUAUGGUACUAGACACCAACACAACAUUUGAAAAGGAAAGGUGAACGAUUCAAUCCAUAUCUCUAGCCCCUUCAUAUUUUCUGCAUGUUUGUGUAGGCAGCGACAGAUUAGUGACUUGCGAUCUAUUUAGGCAGCGACAUAUGGAAUUGAUUAGUAAUUUCUAUUUUCCUGUUGUGUGCGUAUCAGAGACCUUUGGAGAUGAUUAAAUUCAGUGGAUGAUUGGCAUCAUAAAUCACUGGUUUGGGAGAAUCAUAUUAUAAUUUGGAUGCCGUGAUAAUAAGGUGCAGUGGAAUACAUGAAUAUAAAUUAACUACUUCAGACGUCACCUUGGCAUGUCACCUUGUGCUUUUAAGUCAUCGUUGUUAUUCCCUGCUGAUACCUCAGAGUUGUUUCUGUUGUCACCUGGAUCGCCUCACCAUGAAGGUAUAUAUGUUCUAGAGGGCUCUUGGGCUUCCUACUAUUGCGGAUGCAUACUAUGCAUGACAAAUGAUGAUCAAGGUACCUGGUGGUUGGCAUUUUGAUGGCCAAAAGUGUUGGAUAGGUAACACUUUUGCAGAUAUGCUCAUCAUUUUAGCUAGAUAUACAUAUACAAACCAAUUAAAUGGGCAGGGUCAGGAACACAUGGCCUAGGGAGAUCUAAAAACUGGUGCAGUUCUUUGCGAGAAAAUACACUGCCUGUUUGAUGAACCCGUGAUGGAAUUGAUGUGGGGCCUGAAGAACAUGAUGAAGAGUUUAGUGCCUGCUGAAACAUGUGAACUGACUACGGAGGACCGCCGCCACAUGAGUAAAGGAAUGCAAUUGAUCCUGAAUAAGUAUGACUUCAAAGUGGAGCCAGAGAUGGUCGAUGAAAAUCUUAUCACUAUAGCAACUGCUUUGUACGAGUCUGACUACUGCGUGAAUAAGUUUGCUGAGUAUUUGCACCUUGGUGGUGAAUAUCUUAAGGAGGUAUCUGGUAUUGAUUGUCAGAAUUGGGAUCUACAAAAACUUGCUACUGCCCUUAAAUUACUAUGUUACCCUAAUGACAAGAUCGAAACUGGCACUUCUAAUGAGAUGUUGUCGGAAGAUACGGCACGUAUAUUGGUGGAGCAAGCACACAUGUAUGAAAGUAAGCUCCAUAAGGGGACAUACUUGAAUAUCUACAAGGAGAUCCAGUUUGCCCGUGCUGUUAGGACUGAGGCGCUGGUGUACUUGAAGGCCAAAGGUGCAUGUGCUACCCAGUAACACUAUUAAUUUUCUAAAUUGCUGUUGGAGGCAUCAAGACUGUUGAGAAGUACCCGACUGGUACCAAGGUGGCUAAGGCUGCUGCGAAGAAGUGAUGUGCCUGCUUUGGGGCACCAUAAUGCUUGACUAUCACAUCAACUGCUGUGUUAUUUUGGUAACAUAAUGGUGUUGUGAAAUGAGUAUUUAGAUUCUUAUAAGUAUAUUCCCUACAUGAGGCUUUGGGGCACCAUAAUGCUUGACUAUCACAUCAACUACUGUGUUAUUUUGGUAACAUAAUGGUGUUGUGAAAUGAGUAUUUGGAUUCUUAUAAGUAUAUUCCCUACAUGAGGUGUUCUUUUCUUGGUUAA